rnacentral:rRNA from 1 species
AUUGAACGCUGGCGGCAUGCCUCACACAUGCAAGUCGAACGGCAGCACGGGAGCAAUCCUGGUGGCGAGUGGCGAACGGGUGAGUAAUAUAUCGGAACGUGCCCAGUAGUGGGGGAUAACUGCUCGAAAGAGCAGCUAAUACCGCAUACGACCUGAGGGUGAAAGGGGGGGAUCGCAAGACCUCUCGCUAUUGGAGCGGCCGAUAUCAGAUUAGCUAGUUGGUGGGGUAAAGGCCUACCAAGGCAACGAUCUGUAGCUGGUCUGAGAGGAUGAUCAGCCACACGGGGACUGAGACACGGCCCAGACUCCUACGGGAGGCAGCAGUGGGGAAUUUUGGACAAUGGGGGCAACCCUGAUCCAGCCAUUCCGCGUGAGUGAAGAAGGCCUUCGGGUUGUAAAGCUCUUUCGGCAGGAACGAAACGGCGAGCUCUAACAUAGCUUGCUAAUGACGGUACCUGAAGAAGAAGCACCGGCUAACUACGUGCCAGCAGCCGCGGUAAAAC